rnacentral:lncRNA from 1 species
GGACAACAUUCUUCUUAAAUUGUCACGGGGUGUGAUGAGAACUGAAGGAAAUGCUGUAACUGCUAUAAUCAUACUUUCUCAUUUUGGGUUUUUGUAAAGUAGAAAGCAUUAGUCCUAUGUAUACACACUAAUAGAAACAUGCACGUUGACUCUGAGGAGUCACUUUUUGAUUGUAUUCCAAAGAUGCAUAUAGAACUGUGAUCUAUCAUGUAUAUGUUUCGUUGAUAUUCACACCAUGUAUAGCGUUUAGAAGAUGGCAUAUUCGACCAUUGGAACUUUUCCCUCAAUCUUUGUACGAAUUGUUCUAACAACAAAUAAUGAGGUCAGUGUGCAAUGCUAUAAACUAUGAUUUCAUUUAGCAAUUAUUUCAAUUUUUCACAUCGGAAUAAGGAACGAAAUGUUAUCUUGGGAAUAAGCGGAGAAGAUCUAGGGUGGGUGUGUUUUUUGUAUUUUGUUUUGCUUUUUUGUUCAAAUUGUUUAUAUCUUUUGUUGUUGUUUUUUUAAGGGGGGGGGGUAUUCUGACUCUUCAUUUUAAAAGUGUCGUGUUAUGAUACAGAAGAUGACUGAUUAAAUUAGUUGUAAGGCAAUGUUAAGUCACCUCUCUUCCUUCUUACACUGUACUAUAGUUUUUAUAGAGGAAAAUAACAUAGAUUAUACUUAUUCAUAGCAUAAACAUUCAUUGUGCCUUAUUAUGACCAUUUUAGGUAAAUUGUCAAGUUGUUGAUCAUUAAUGUGUAAAUCCU